UAACUGAUCACAUGAAGACUUUGAUGAGUUCCUUUCCUUCUGCUAAGCUCCACAUAUCUUAUUGAAUUUCUGCAUCAGUUCACAUCCUGUAUCAGAGUGAUGCACACAUCGUAUAUCUGUGGAAGAUAUACUGCUUCAGCAGGAGCCUUCCUGCUCCAAUGAUGAUGACAUGAUGAACAAUAUACCUGAAAGCUUCUGGCUGAAGCAUGGAUUCCUGAAACAUGGAAAUUAGCCACUCAAAUACAAGCAGAAGGCUGGAAAAUAACUCUGCAGGUCAGAAACAGGACUGAUACCCCAUGGCAGUAAAGGUUUCUCUUAUAGAAAAGGUUCCUCAGUUGAAUAGGAAAAUGAGCACAUCAGGUGAAGUCACCAGAUUUAGUUUCUAUCACUUCCUGAGAGCAAAGACCUGAGAGCAAAGACAUGAAUCU